rnacentral:rRNA from 1 species
UGAGUAACCUGCCCUUAACUCUGGGAUAAGCCUGGGAAACUGGGUCUAAUACCGGAUAUGACUCCUCAUCGCAUGGUGGGGGGUGGAAAGCUUUAUUGUGGUUUUGGAUGGACUCGCGGCCUAUCAGCUUGUUGGUGAGGUAAUGGCUCACCAAGGCUAUGACGGUUAACCGGCCUGAGAGGGUGUACGGUCACACAGGCACUGAGAUACGGGCCUGACUCCGUACGGGAGCAG